UUGCCAAGUUUUUAAAAACAAAGUUACACUCCCAUGAUUUUAACCAGUAGUGAGAUCCUCUUAUGAAAAAUCUUUGCGCUGCAAAGAAGCUACUUUAAAAAAAAGAAGGCAUUUCUACCAGCAUUUAAGGAAUAUUUAAAAGCUGAGCAUGCAAAAAACAAGAAGGAAGUAGAUGGUCAAGAUUUAAGACUUCAACACCUGUUUCCAGUUUUCUCCCAUGGAUUCAGGUGUUACCUAAAGAGAUUUCUGAGUUUAAUGGGUUCAAGGUCAAAGAUAGGUAUGGUGAAUUUUCAGACUGUCUCAAUCUUGUAAGCUUCAGGCAAGUCAAAGCCAUUAUUUUCCAUAAAUAUAUGCAAAUCCACUAGGAAGUAAAUGAGAAAAAUAGAAGAAAGCAAAUAAGAACCCUCAUAGCUUAUACUGCAACAUAAGUUACAGUGCUCAUAGGGUCUAUACACUUCAUAAAACAUAAGGGCUUAGUAGAAGCCCAACAUUUCUAGAACAUACACUGCAUGAUACCAACUCAAAGGCAGAACAGCCCUGGUUCUGUACAGACCAGGAUGGGAGCACAGAAAUGAUAUUGUUAAAAUGACAUUAGCUGUCUUGAGUACUUCUGAGUAAGCAUCUCUAGAGUUUGGGGUGUCUAAAUUUCAUGGAGAUGGAUGCUUGUUCAAAGACUGUGAAGCGGAAAUCUAUAUGGUCCUCAACAGGUCAAAGCUUGGUAUUUACUAACUUCUGUGAGCCUGAAAUUUAAGUUCCUUUAUCCUUUCUUGGGACUACCAUGCUGAUUUCCAGUCCGGGUUAUGCCCAGCGGCUCUCUUCACUUUAACCUCCAAACUGAAUGGAUCAACACUGCUGGGAAUGCAAAGCACUUGAGCUGAAUGUGCCCUAAUAAAAGUUCUGCAAUGCAAUAAGCCAGUCAUGGAUGGCUGUUGACUUCUUCAUGAAUUCCCCAAACCCGGUACUUCAUACUUUUCCCACAUUCCUCAAACCCUCAUCAACCCCACUCUUUCUUAACUCUGGACAACACAUUUCAACCCCUUGCUUCUUGAAACCAUGAUUGGAAUGAACUUCAACUUGCCCAUUUGCAUUACCUUAAGUUGCCUUUCAUGGCACCCUCUUGCCCACCAUGAAAUGCAUUUAUAUCCUUAACCAUUACCCCCAGUCUUCUGCUUGCUUCCGUUGCAAAUCUUUCCUGGGCCCUGGAGCCCAGUCCUUCCAGGUCCAUCCAAUUCCCCACUCCAUCAUGUAUUUCUCUCUCCCUACUCCCGUUCCCACCGCCUGCCUGCCUCCAUCAUACUCCUGUCUUUCCUUAAUCAAUCCAUUUCUACUUGGAAAUCUACACAUGCUCUAUUCUUUCGUAUUAAAAACAAAAUAAAACAAGCAAUACUUUCCUUGAUCCUAAUUACCUAUUCAAUAUGCAACUCUUUGCUUCACGAUCAACUUCCUGAAAGUAUCAUGAAAGCAUGUUCUCCAGUCCAUGACUGAACACCUCUAGCCUGUGGGCCUCUGCCUAUUGGAGAAGGAUGGCCAUUAUUUUAAGCCCAGAUUGAUUCCCUGUAGCUCCUGUACUGAUUCUAAUGUCAUUCUGUGAGGCCACAUGGAGCAAGUCAUGCAGAUGACUUUUCUCCUGUCCUGGCCCCUUCUCUCCAGUCUUUCUGGGCACUGUCAGUUCCUUCAACUAUUCUUUGUGUGACCUAGUUCUGAGUCCCUUUGCCUCCAUGUUCCUAGUUUGCUUCUCUUCUUAAAGGGUCAUGCCCCAAGAUUAAAUGUAAAUUAUUCACUUCUGCUCUGCCUGGCCUGGGAGAGCAGGGUUUUCACUGCCUUUGUUCUCACUACCCUUUAUUCAGUACAAUUGCUGAAUUCUCUUCCUAUCAACUCAGACCUCUAAGGCAGGGGUUUGCAAAGUGUGGCUUAUGGAGCUUCUACCAGAGAAUGUCCAAGGAGCAUUAAUAAAUGCAGAUUCUUGUCUAUUCCUCAAACUUGUUAAAUUUGACAAUCUGAGGGUGGCAACUGGGAAUUCAUAUUUUAAGCAAGUAUGCCAGGUGAUUCUUAAUGUACACAAAAUCUGGGAAAAAAAAAAAACUGUCUCAACAUCUGUUGCCAAGCCUAGCCCCUUCCUCUGUCUUUGUGUAGAUAGGUUUUUAGAUCCAAGACAAGCCCUUCCAUUUUCUUAUGUGAUAUUUCAUCUUGUUAGAUCUGAUACAUUGCCUGGGUCUAUCAAAAUAUGUUGAGUCCUUUAUCCCCAACAUAUGACUUCAUGACAACCACACAUGGAUUAAGAUGAAAAACCCUAAAGUCACAGCACCAGGAAUUUCCCUCCACAAUGACACCAAUGACGACAGUCAACCAAGUGCUAACAAACUCAUGCUUCGUCUUCUUUCCCAUGAGAUAAAUGGACAAGUUGUCCAUUGCCAAGGGCUUCAGUAAAGCCCAGCUAUUUUUGUCUUUCAUAUUUCUCUGAUCCACUGGUCUAUACCAACCUUGUCUGAGAGGGAAACGAAGCAUUCUCACAGGCCAUUUACAUGUGCGUUCUAGAGUCUGGGGCCAGACAGUGGGCUGUAAUGUGCAGAAUCUGCCUUCUUUUCCCAUGCCCACCUAUGGCACUUAGGUUAUAGGACCCCUGACUUGUAUUAAAAAUAUUCUUGUCCACAUUUGACCCUACUACUAGACAAAGAGCCCUUGAACUUUGAAGUUGUGUCUUAUGUGUCUCUAAAUAUCUCACAGUAAUUAGCACAAUGUCCUACUUGGUAAUUUUCCUCUGAAUGAAUGAAUGAAUGAAUGAAUGGAUGGAUUUUACAUUUUAUUUCCAUUAAUUGAUUUUCACUUUUUGUGCAAGAGGAAAGCAGACUCUGCAGUGAAUAUUGGGAGACUAUGCUUCUUAGGCCUAAAGGAAGCGAAGUGCCUAGACAGAUCUCCACAGGCCCAAUUGUUUCUCUUAGUCACUGCUCAUUCAAACGAACUUGUUAGAAUAAAGGCAUUUUUUUUUUUUUUCGUUUUGAAAUGAAGUGUGAUGAAAACAUUGAGAAAUGAUGACACAGUUUCUGACACAUCACAUCUUUACUAGACGCUGUGGCAAUGGCCAAAUGAGACAACAGAAAUGGUGUUUCAGAAAAACCUUGGCCUGGUGGAACCACCUAAGUCAGGACAACAAGCAGACAAAGUUCUUUAUGGGCUUUCUAACAAGACCUCCUGUGAUGACGAGAAAAAGUGUUUCAAUAGGACAUGACAUGGCUGGGCAAGGAAAUCUAGCUUCCCUCUGCAUCACAACAGCUAACACGUCCGAGUGAUUCUCUGAUAUGUAAGACAGGAAAAGAACUGUAAAUGAAUGGUGGAAAGUCCUGUGGUUUCCUUGGGUCAAGUGACUUUCUUCGUGGUCAUGUCUUUCCUGUUUCUUAUAGGCCAGAGAAGAUUCCAUAAAUACUCCAGAACAUUCAUCUACUGGAAAAGCCACAUAGCCCCACACAGCAUGAGGUCUAGAGCAGUGAUUUCCAAUGAGGGGGUGACUCUGUUUCCCUACCCCAGGGGACAUGUGGCCAUGUCUGGAGACCUUUCUGCUUGUUACAACUGAGGAACCGGUACCACUGGCAUCUAGUGGGUAAGAGGCCAGGGAUGUGGCUAAAUACCUACAAUCCACAGGAUGGCCUCUACCUGCCAACAGAGAAUUAUCUGAUUCAAAAUGCCUAGAGCAAUGAUCUCAAUACAAGUUUUUAAUUAAAAAAGUAUCAAGAGGACCACUACUGAGAACCCCUGGUCUAUGGCAAUGCUUCUAGCCCCAUAUCUGCAAAGACUGGUUCCUCUCAAAGGGUCAGGUACCACCAGUCGUGGGUCCGUGCAGUAACUCACAGGUGAAAAACACCAUAAAAGAUACUUGGCAGUUUCAGGGUGAGGUAAUGGUACCAAGGCUGGAAGCCCUACCUAGGGCAUUGGUUUGGAUGGGAGCCUGAAUGGAAGUAGAGAGGUUUCAGAACACUGCUGACAGCAGUAGGUUUGACCUCAGAGUAGCUUAAUGGAAAAGUCCUUGGUGAAUUGCACCCAGAGGGCGCUUCCUUCUCCACAGACAGAGGAACGCAGACCCAGGAGAAUCAUGCAAGAAGCAUCAGUGAGCCACGUUCAUGAUCAUAAGAGGGCCCUGAAAGACAGCUUCUAAAGACGUAACUGGACAAUGUAAGGCUCCAGGGCUGUGAGGUGGACAUGAAGCAAAUGUGCCCAUUGGAAAGGGUUCUGUUUCAGUGCUGAUUGCCACAAAGUCUCGGUCUUGUAGGGAUGAAAGGAAAACACAUUUUACCUGAAGCUCCUAGAUGAUGGAUGCACUUUCCCCAGCUUCCUCGCAUUUCUGAUAUGGCCAAGAUUUUAGACAUCACCCGUUUUAUAUAUCAUAGGGAAGCUGGUAGAUUUAAUGAAGCCUCCAGAUGCCUCUUGAGAGAUGAUUACAGCUCUAAUUAAAAAUAGAGGAUGACAGAAAAGACUCCCUUGGGACUCUACAAGCAAGUGGCGUUCGUACAUCUUCUUCCACGGACGAGAUUGCUUUGUUCAUGUCAGUCUGGGUUCUUUCCAGUGGUAAAGGGUAGUGUCACCAAAUUCUCAUGCAUUAUGAAAUUUGCUCUGGUUCAAAGAUCAGGAAGUGUUUUAAAUUGUGAGAGACAGGCAAGUUUAUAAGCUAUGCCAGACUUUCAUUUCCUGUAUUUCACAUACCUGUACUUGCAGUCUCCAUGACUUCAGAUCGGCUAGAACACACAAGGAGUCACCUGAAUGAAGCCUGUUUUAAUGUCCUCUUGACAUGGAGAAGCACAAGGGGGAAAUGAGUGAGGCACAUGAGGAUCAGGACUCAGAAGAGGUUGUGGGGCCACGAAUCCAGGUAAUCAUAUGAAGUUUCAAACAUGAUCAAGUAGGUCUUGAAGUUCAAGGCAGUCCAAUGAAUAGACUCAGGAGAUCAGGGAUAUUGAGAUGUGUUUCAGAAGAUAGAACUGCUUAUCGGAACGUGGCUUAUCACAAGAAGGCUGGUCUUCUAACCCCUAGAGUGCUGGGCAUGUUGGAGAGUCAUGGCCCUAUAUACACCCUGAAAUGGAGGUCAUUCUACUUAAUCUCCAUGGUAGGGCUGUGGGAGGGGACGGUAGGCAGAGACAGCCUAAAGCAGAAGGGCAUGGCUUGCUGGAAGGCGUAGGAUUGGGUGGGGCCUCUGCCUAUGGAUAGAAUACAGCCUUGGGCCUGGCUCAGUAGCCUGCAUAGCCAUGCACCUACUUUCAAAGGCGAGGUUAGUAUUUUACCUUCAUGCAUGCACUUCCAUAUCUUCAAUGAAGACAUACCAUUUACCAAGGAGAAAUCAAAAAGAGAGUUGGGCCAAAGGGUCUAAUGCAAGAAAUAUCAAGGACUCCACUGUGAUUAAACCAUGGAUGUGGUGAUCCCACACUGUCCCUGGACCCUGCACUGACCCUACUGUCAGGUAUCAGGGUAUAGGUCUCAGAAACCCUCCGAUUCAAGAUUCACCCUUGGAUGGGGCGAGUACAUCAGGCCAAGCUCUUAUUCUUGCAGACAUGGAGCCCGAGGCAGGACGUCACGCUGAGAGACAGACUAGGCUUUAAGAAUGGUCAUCAAAUCUUUUAUGAAUAAUUGGCAAGGUUUGGAGAUCCACCCACCCUACCCCACCCUCAACUAAUGAGCAGGCCUGGGCAAUUGUCUGCAGUGUAUAAGGAUGAAGAAAUAUUCCUGAACCCAAUGCAUGGUUGUUUUGAGGCUGUGGAUCCCCAAACUCAUCCCCAGCCUCCAUUCUUUCCCAAAUCCUACAUGAGAGCCACAAAACAUCUACCUAAGGUUUCCAAAUAAGCUGUGUUUCCUCUGCUGGGAAUGCCUUGGCCUCCCCUAUCAACACCUACACAGAACGGCUCCUCUGAGAUCCCCUCUGGGCCUAACUCCUCUCUUCCUACUCUAUGGUUUCCAAGUUCAAGGUAUGUAGCUCUAUUUAAACUAGAUUGGUGAUUCUCUGUCUACUGGAUUAUCUCUCUUGUGAGGCAGAAAGUAUUUUGAGCUCAGGGACCAUUUGUUUAAAUAUAUGAGUACUGCAUGCCUCAUGUAGCACCUGGAGCGUAAUAUAUGCUCAAUUAGUGUUUGUGGAAAGAAAGAUGGAAGGAAGGAAAGAAGGAAAGAAGGAAGGAAGGAAAGAAGGUUGAAGAAGCAGUAAAGACCUCUAACCAGGCAGACCGUUUCAGGCUUUUCCAAAAGGGAUUCUGGCUCACUGGGCUGGAGAGGCCACCUCGCACAGAUCAACAAAGGAGUGGGCAAUGGCGGUCAGUGGCUGCAGGGCUGUGAUUCUGACUGCAGCCACUGGCAAAACCCUGGGGAAUCCCUCUUUCUUGGCCCAGCUCAUAACUUACCUUCCUAGAAGGCUGAGCACGGUUCUAUGUUGGCGGCACUUCUGUCGAGCCAGCCAGCACCAGCCUGAGGCUGGCUGUGCUAGAAGGCUCCUAGCAUCCCAGAGGCUGGGUCCUCUCCUACCAGGCUUCUUCUGAGGCCUCUGAUGUGAUCAUCAUUACUUGACAUUAUCAUCAUUACUUGAUCACUAUUAAUAAUGAAAAAUAGUCUACCUUUGUUUUGGUGAAUUACUUUUAUCUAUUUGCCAUUCCCCAUCCAGUGAAAGAGUUGGCAGAGCUGAGUCCUUAUUCAGAAACUCCCAAUAUAUAUAGCUUUUGAAACUGCUUCUUAAGUCUCAAAGUAUUAUCCACUGGUGACAAAGAUUGUUGCAGCUGACAACCCUGAGUAUAACUAUAAGGGUUUUUCAAGAUCCCAGAACUUGACGACAUAGAUCUCGUCUACUUUCCACUCCGUGCCAUUCAUUUCUGCAAAGCACUAAAUUCGGUAUUCAGGAGAUUCAAUAGAACAUCCAGCACAUAUCCUUGACUGCUCUUAGAAAUCAGUUCUGUUGAUGGAUAAGCUAUUCAAAGAAAGUGCUUUUAAGCUCGUCGUUGAACAUGGUAAUGUAAUAUCCUGCAAUCACAGAGUCAAAGUAUGUUUGAACUAGAAGGAAGCUUAACAGGCAGACUAGUCUGAACUGAGGAUGCUAAUGCCUAGCUGGAGAGGGUAAGUAACUUGCUCAAGGACACACAGCAAGAGAGUGGCUGAACCUGGCUGGAAAAUAAACAUGAUGAUCUUUUUUUUUUUUUCCUUUUUAUGACUGCACCUGUGGCACAGGAAAGUUCCUGGUCCAGUGGUUGAAUCGGAGCUGCAGCUGUGGACUGUGCCACAGCCAUGGCAACACUGAGCCACAUCUGGGAGCUACACUGCAGCUUGCGCCAAUGCUGGAUUCUUAACCCACUGAGCCAGGCCAGGGAUGGAACCCACAUCCUCACAGAGACAACAUCAGGCAUUGUUUCCAUCCAAACCUUGCACUGAAAGGCAGCCUGUCAGCUGGCAAUGACCUCGUGAGACAACUUUGGGGAGAGCAAAGGGCCGAGAAGAGAAAGGCCUCAUUCUCCCUGCAAACAGGAAAAGGAAAGAGAAAAAGAAAGCUCUGUCUCCACACAAGGUUUGCUGGGCCGGCUAUGAACUGUUCCAGUACGUUCCAUCAAAUAGACGCCUUCAUAGAAUCAAGCCAAGCGCGAACAGCGGGGUCUGGGACUCCCGUUCCCGGGACGCAGGCGGGCCGGCUCACACAUGCUCCCCUCUCUCGCACCCUGGGAGAGCAUUUAUACGGGCUUCGCGAGGCCAGGUAAUAAACACUUUGUCUUCGCCCUGCUAUUUAUGGGUUGCUUGGGGCAUCCUGUUCUCUGCACUGCCCUUACCUGAGCAGUCGGCUCUCGCAGACCCCACGUUUAACAAGGGACAACAGUGAGGACCGAAGGCUGGGUGUGCCCCGCCCCCACCCCCACGCUCCCGUUUUCCUGGCCACCGCCGUGCUUAAUUGCAGAGAAAAGUCAGUCUGCAUGCAUCCACCUAUAUCUGCGCUUCGAGGAAGGGAAGAAGGAAGGCCUUCAGAGAAGUGAAAUCCCUCCCCUCCUUGUU
rnacentral:lncRNA from 1 species